UACGUAGGGUGCGAGCGUUGUUCGGAAUUACUGGGCGUAAAGGGCUCGUAGGCGGCCAACUAAGUCAGACGUGAAAUCCCUCGGCUUAACCGGGGAACUGCAUCUGAUACUGGAUGGCUUGAGUUCGGGAGAGGGAUGCGGAAUUCCAGGUGUAGCGGUGAAAUGCGUAGAUAUCUGGAGGAACACCGGUGGCGAAGGCGGCAUCCUGGACCGACACUGACGCUGAGGCGCGAAAGCCAGGGGAGCGAACGGG
rnacentral:rRNA from 1 species